GAUGAACGCUGGCGGCGUGCCUAAUACAUGCAAGUCGAGCGAACGGACGAGAAGCUUGCUUCUCUGAUGUUAGCGGCGGACGGGUGAGUAACACGUGGAUAACCUACCUAUAAGACUGGGAUAACUUCGGGAAACCGGAGCUAAUACCGGAUGAUAUUUUGAACCGCAUGGUUCAAAAGUGAAAGACGGUCUUGCUGUCACUUAUAGAUGGAUCCGCGCUGCAUUAGCUAGUUGGUAAGGUAACGGCUUACCAAGGCAACGAUGCAUAGCCGACCUGAGAGGGUGAUCGGCCACACUGGAGCUGAGACACGGUCCAGACUCCUACGGGACGCAGCAGUAGGGAAUCUUCCGCAAUGGGCGAAAGCCUGACGGAGCAACGCCGCGUGAGUGAUGAAGGUCUUCGGAUCGUAAAACUCUGUUAUUAGGGAAGAACAUAUGUGUAAGUAACUGUGCACAUCUUGACGGUACCUAAUCAGAAAGCCACGGCUAACUACGUG
rnacentral:rRNA from 1 species